AGGACGAACGCUGGCGGCGUGCUUAACACAUGCAAGUCGAGCGGAAAGGCCCACUUGUGGGUACUCGAGCGGCGAACGGGUGAGUAACACGUGAGUAAUCUGCCCUUCACUUUGGGAUAACUGCCUGAAAGGGUGGCUAAUACCGGAUAUGACUGCUGCCUGCAUGGGUGGUGGUGGAAAGCUUUUGUGGUGGGGGAUGUGCUCGCGGCCUAUCAGCUUGUUGGUGGGGUAAUGGCUUACCAAGGCUUUGACGGGUAGCCGGCCUGAGAGGGUGACCGGCCACACUGGGACUGAGACACGGCCCAGACUCCUACGGGAGGCAGCAGUGGGGAAUAUUGCGCAAUGGGCGAAAGCCUGACGCAGCGACGCCGCGUGGGGAUGAAGGCCUUCGGGUGUAACCCUUUCAGCAGGGACGAAGCGAAAGUGACGGUACCUGCAGAGAAGCGCCGGCUAACUACGUGCCAGCAGCCGC
rnacentral:rRNA from 1 species